rnacentral:rRNA from 1 species
CCUACGGGUGGCAGCAGUGGGGAAUAUUGCACAAUGGGGGAAACCCUGAUGCAGCAACGCCGCGUGGGUGAAGGAGCGUUUCGGCGCGUAAAGCCCUGUCAGCGGGGAAGAAGAAAGACGGUAACCGACCUAGAAGCCCCGGCUAACUACGUUGCAGCAGCCGCGGUAAUACGUAGGGGGCGAGCGUUAUCCGGAAUUACUGGGUGUAAAGGGAGCGUAGACGGCGAGGUAAGCCUGAAGUGGAAGCCCGCGGCCCAACCGCGGAACUGCGUUGGGAAAUGUCGGGCUGGAGUGUGGGAGGGGUAGGCGGAAUUCCUGGUGUAGCGGUGAAAUGCGUAGAUAUCAGGAGGAACACCAGUGGCGAAGGCGGCCUACUGGACCAUAACUGACGCUGAGGCUCGAAAGCGUGGGGAGCGAACAGGAUUAGAUACCCCAGUAGUC